rnacentral:rRNA from 1 species
UACGAAGGUUGCAAGCGUUACUCGGAAUUACUAGGCGUAAAGGGUAGGUAGGUGGUUUGGUAAGUCUAUUGUGAAAGCUCCCGGCUCAACUGGGAGAGGCCAAUGGAUACUACCAGGCUUGAGUAUAGGAGAGGUUACUGGAAUUCCCGGUGUAGCGGUGAAAUGCGCAGAUAUCGGGAGGAACACCAAUGGCGAAAGCAGGUAACUGGACUAUUACUGACACUCAACUACGAAAGCUAGGGGAGCAAACAGG